rnacentral:tRNA from 1 species
UUGCGGUGUAGAGCAGUUUGGUAGCUCGUCGGGCUCAUAACCCGGAGGUCAUAGGUUCAAAUCCUGUCGCCGCAAGC